UUCAAUAUUCAAAUACGGCACAGUGACAUAAGAUCUUUGAUUGUCAGAUGAAGGGGUUAACUUAACUAUCCCUGAGCACAAGACUCUCACCUGAGGAGUACUAACACAAGGUUCAAAUAAAGCUUCACUUGCCUGUAGUUGCGUCACUAGCGUUAUGUAACCUGCAACAGAUGCAUGCAGUUGCAAAGGUUCCGCUGCUUGGCAACGUACGGCCUUAUUUUCAGUGAGACCUUCUUCAUUUCCAUCUACAUUUAGCUAAGAUCCUUCACCUCUAGAUAUAAGACAUAUUUUUCCUGGCAUAAUUGUAUGGUUUCCCCUUCUAUUAUCAGUUUUAAGCUUCGUUCUUUUGUUCCUCAUUUAGUUGCAAUGUUUUCAAAAUAAUCUCGUGCUACACGACAAAUCAGUACUCAACAUAAUAUGAGUCGGCAAAUCUACAUCGCGUGUUAUCAAUAAGUCUUGGAAACUACUUUUUCCUUCCAUAUUAACUUGUCUUUUACCGUCAUUUUCAAUAUGGUAUCUUUGCACAGAGACAAUAUUCACGGGUUUCGCUUCACAGUUAUUUACUGCGAGCCCUAAUUCUUUAAUAAAUUCAUCCGUUAAAACUCACACACGCUAGGAGUGCUGCCACUUUUGCAUAUGUAUUAUUAUGAGUAGUGCGAUCUGCCUAACAAAGUUACUCUUGAGUUAUGUUAAUUAUAGCCUUCUUUUCAUUAUUUUUAAGGUCACUCCCUUGUUCGUUAUAGCCUUCUUUUCCUUAUAUUUAUGUGAGGCGGUUACUCCCUUGUUCGUUAUAGCCUUCAUCUUAUUAUAUUAAAGGUUACUCCCUUGUUCGUUAUAGCCUUCAUCUUAUUAUAUUAAAGGUUACUCCCUUGUUCGUUAUAGCCUUCAUCUUAUUAUAUUAAAGGUUACUCCCUUGUUCGUUAUAGCCUUCAUCUUAUUAUAUUAAAGGUUACUCCCUUGUUCGUUAUAGCCUUCAUCUUAUUAUAUUAAAGGUUACUCCCUUGUUCGUUAUAGCCUUCAUCUUAUUAUAUUAAAGGUUACUCCCUUCUUCGUUAUAGCCUUCAUCUUAUUAUAUUAAAGGUUACUCCCUGUUUUGUUCUUCGCUCAUUUUCCGUUUUUUCCACUGCAAGUGUGCAUAUUUAUUUAUUUAUUUAUUUAUUAUUCAUUUAUUUAUUUAAUGUUAUUUGUAGUAGUUAACUGAGGGGGGCACUACCCUGGCCUCCUCUUCCUCUGAUCCUCUUACUUCACACAUUUAUCUCAAUACUUCACACUAUUGUCCAUAUGCUUCAUUUUUUUUUUCUUUUUUCCAUGACUUUUAUCCAUACCUCACACUUUUCUUAGUAUUUCACAUUUUUUCUAGAUCAUACUCUACACUUCCUACCUGGGGGACGCGGGUUAGGCCUUUAUAAAGUCACUCUAUGGCUGCAUGCCCGCCGCGGCACACCUCCACCCUGUGAGGCGUAGAGCCCCGUGCUCCCCUCCAUCCUGGGGUAACAAUCCUAAAACAAACAAACCUGAGAGGCAGGACGCUGCCGCUGCCUGUCACCUGACACCCUCUCACUGAUGAAUGGA